AUUGAACGCUGGCGGCAGGCUUAACACAUGCAAGUCGAGCGGAGAGAGGUAGCUUGCUACUGAUCUUAGCGGCGGACGGGUGAGUAAUGCUUAGGAAUCUGCCUAUUAGUGGGGGACAACAUUUCGAAAGGAAUGCUAAUACCGCAUACGUCCUGCGGGAGAAAGCAGGGGAUGUUCGGACCUUGCGCUAAUAAAUGAGCCUAAGUCGGAUUAGCUAGUUGGUGGGGUAAAGGCCUACCAAGGCGACGAUCUGUAGCGGGUCUGAGAGGAUGAUCCGCCACACUGGGACUGAGACACGGCCCAGACUCCUACGGGAGGCAGCAGUGGGGAAUAUUGGACAAUGGGCGGAAGCUUGAUCCAGCCAUGCCGCGUGUGUGAAGAAGGCCUUAUGGUUGUAAAGCACUUUAAGCGAGGAGGAGGCUACUUUAGUUAAUACCUAGAGAUAGUGGACGUUACUCGCAGAAUAAGCACCGGCUAACUCUGUGCCAGCCGCCGCAGUAAUAC
rnacentral:rRNA from 1 species